UCUUGGUCAUUUAGAGGAAGUAAAAGUCGUAACAAGGUCUCCGUUGGUGAACCAGCGGAGGGAUCAUUAUCGAGUUUCAUAACUCCAAACCAUUGUGAACAUACCUAUCGUUGCUUCGGCGGUUUCGUCCCGGGCGCGCUUCGCGGCGUGAUCCGGAUCCAGGCGGCCGCCGGGGGAAUCAAACUCUUGUUUUCUUAGAGGAUCUUCUGAGUGGCAUAAGCAAAAUAAAUCAAAACUUUCAGCAACGGAUCUCUUGGUUCUGGCAUCGAUGAAGAACGCAGCGAAAUGCGAUAAGUAAUGUGAAUUGCAGAAUUCAGUGAAUCAUCGAAUCUUUGAACGCACAUUGCGCCCGCUAGUAUUCUAGCGGGCAUGCCUGUCCGAGCGUCAUUUCUACCCUCUAGCGCUGUCCGCUAGGUGUUGGGGCCCUGCAGGCCGUUCCCUGCAGGCCCUGAAAGUCAGCGGCGGGACCGCCGGUGUUUCGAGCGCAGUAGCACACUUACGCCCUGGAGCACCGGCGGCCGCUGGCCGUUAAACCCCCAGACCACACAAGGUUGACCUCGGAUCAGGUAGGACCACCCGCUGAACUUAAGCAUAUCAAUAAGCGGAGGAA
rnacentral:rRNA from 1 species